rnacentral:rRNA from 1 species
CACGUAGGGGGCAAGCGUUGUCCGGAAUCAUUGGGCGUAAAGAGCUCGUAGGCGGCUCAGUAAGUCGGGUGUGAAACCCUCAGGCUCAACCUGGGGGACGCCACCCGAUACUGCUGUGGCUAGAGUCCAGUAGGGGAGUGUGGAAUUCCCGGUGUAGCGGUGAAAUGCGCAGAUAGUCGGGAGGAAUACCGGUGGCGAAAGCGACUCUCUGGGCCUUAACUGACGCUGAGGAGCGAAAGCAUGGGGAGCGAACAGG